ensembl:lncRNA
GGAGAGCGAGAAACUGACGGAGAAGACUAGUCGGUUUUUAACAUGGCGGAGACCGUACGCUCGCUCUUCGACUACCGGGAGCCACCGACCCUGGACAGCGACGGAGAGGGAACCAAACCGGCGCCGACACCUCGGGGACGCGGUUGUGGGAGGAAAAGGAAGGGAACGCCGGUGAAAGUGUGCGACCGCGUCUUUGUCACAGAGGAUGAGGAGGAGAGCUCCGAACACAGCUACGGUCCAGGUGAUGGUAAGGGGGCUGCAGAGAACAAACGACCAACCCUGGAUGGCCCUUGCUACAUCAAUGACCCUGUUCAGAUCUGUACAAGGUGUCGAAAGCGUUCCACAGGGAUGCUGGCCCAUGUUGACUCCAAUGCUUCCUACAGUUGUGUCAAGUUGGCUGGAUGUCCUUUUAGGUGGUGGACCAUUCUUGAUACACACAGGAAACUGUUGAGCGGGAAAAACCCGCAGCGUUGCAGUUCUUGACACAAAGCGUCUGACACCUACUACCAUACCCGGUUCGAAGGCAAACUUUUGUCUUGCCCAUUCACCCUCUGAAUGGCACACAUACACAAUUCAUGUCUCAAUUUUCUCAAGGCUUAAAAGUCCUUCUUUAACCUGUCUCUUCCCCUUCAUCUACACCGAUUGAAGUGGAUUUAACAAGUGACAUCAAUAAGGGAUCAUAGCUUUCACCUGGUCAGUCUAUGACAUGGAAAGAGCAGGUGUUCCUAAUGUUUUGUAUAGUUGUGCUGUUUUGCGUGGGGUAGCUUUGUGUGUGUGUGUGUGUGUGUGUGUCUUAGCUUCAGAUAGCAGACACAAUUUUUGCUGAUUUUGUAUGCAUAGGUCCACGUGUGCUGAUCUAUCUAUCUACCUCCCUCCCUCUCCUUCUCUCUCUUUCCCCAUCUCUCUUCCUCCCUCCCCCCAUCUCUCUUCCUCUCUCCCCCCUUUCAGCAGUGGGUCUUCAGAGCUGGGUGAGGAGGGAUCCAGUGGGGGCAGGGGGGCGGCGGUGAUGUUCCCCCCUCCUCCAAACUGCCGCAUCCGAGAAGUACACUGUGGGAGCCAGGUGCGUCUGGUCGUCAUAGCGAUCCGAGACAUCACCAAGGGAGAGGAGAUCACCGUUGACUACAGCCUGACCGAGUGGGGAGACAACACUAUGGGUUUCCGUGGUACUGUCUCCUCAGGGAGAUAUGAGUGUAUCGCUGACCCUGAGAACAACCGUAUCAAAAAGGAGGAAGAGUCUGGGCUUGUGCCCUCCUCUCUCUCAGCCCAGGACUACCUCACCCCUUCCUGGCCCCUGUCCCCCUCUUCCUCCCCCCUCUCCCACUCCAACGCCAGCGACUCUGAUCCCCAGAAUGAGGAGGGCGAGGACGGGGGUCAGAGACGCACACCUCGCCGCCGAAAACGCCGCCGGACCACCACACCUUCCAAAAAGAGAACCACCCCUCACCGGACAUCCCCGGGCCGCCCUCCCCUCUCCUCUUCAUACCGCCCCCUCACCUUCUCCCCCCCUCCCUCCUCCUCCACCUCUUCUCGCCCUUCUCUGUUCAAAUCCCCCGCUCCGUUGGGGCCCAACACGACGGCGAACAUCAGUAUUAACAUCGCCAGGGGGGUUGGCAUGGGCGUGCCCCCCCAGAAGCUGAGCUGCGCCUACUGCGGCCGCCACUUCCGCUCACUGGGGCGCCACCUGGACAAGCACCACACCAACCAGCCUGAGAUCCGCGCCGCGCUCAUCGAGCGCUUUAUGCCCCACCUGGCGGCCGCGCACGCCACACACCACACUCAGUCCCAGCAGCAACCUCGGUCAUCAUCAGGAGUGGAGCAAAAUUCCCACAAGCCACCACUGGGGAGCGCCACCGCGUUCUCCCUGUCUCCUCAACGUCCGGCCACCCAAUCCCCUUCCUCCGCCGUUGGGGGAAACUCCUCCCCCCUGGUAUUAACUCCACCCCGAGGGCGCAGUGCGGUGACCGUGUCCGUUCUGAAGAGAAGCCCGCCUCCGGCGGCUGUGACCCCGCCCAGAAAGGCGGGACUGCGCAAAGUGAAGAAGGAAAAAGAGGAGGAGGAAGAGGAGAACGAUCUGGUGGAAGUUGAGCUGGUGAAGCCCAAAGAAGAGGCAGAGGCGGCUUUUCCCCAUGUCUUUCAGCAGACGCCCAAGGAGAUGGAACAGCUGCCGAAAGAGGAUGAAAAUGAAGAAGAGGAGGAGGCGAACGGUAUGAUGGAAGACGACAGUGGAGCGGAGGAUAAGGAGAAGGAGUUAUUGAGUUCGGGACGUCUCCACAUGCUGCCCCUCCUCUCCUCCCUGUCUUCCCUGGUCCUCUACCUCCGCAGGCUCCAGCACUCAGCCUUCCUCUCCCUGUCCCGCCAGCUCCAAUCCGCCGAGGCCUGGCGCCUCCUGUGCCACUCCUCCCUCGCCCUGCUCAUACUCUACAACCGUCGCCGCGAGUGCGAGGUCUCCAAACUGGCCAUAGCCGAAUACCGUUCCCGUGUCACCCCCCAGUGCCCCGUGCCAGUGCCCCCCGGCGCCCCGCCCGCCCUCACACCCCUGGAGGCAUCGCUUUCGCCCUUUGAGCGUCUCGUGCUUCCACAUUUGCCUCGGGUAGGUGUCCAGGGCAAACGAGGAAGAGUCCAACCUCUUAUCCUGCCACCGCACUGCGAGCCGUGUCUGGAACUCCUCCUCCAGACCAGGCAAGAUGUCGGCGUCGAUCCCCAGAACCCGUACGUCUUCGCCCGGCCGUACCACUCCCCAGCCACCCCCCUCCGUGGCACCGACCUCCUCCGGAGCCUGGCCCGCUCCAGUGGCACCCGGAACCCCCGCGCCCUCACCCAGACCCGAGUCCGGCGCCAGGUCGCCAUCUUGACGCAGCUGCUAUUGCUCGGCGAGGGGGAGGAGCCAGGACAGCCGGGUGGGAACGCCGUAGAGCGCCUGGAACACUUCCUGGAGCGCGAGUACCACGUGACGCAGAGCUGCGGCGGGAUUGGCCAGGACCCGGGGCUGAUGGGUAGAGUGGGGCGUGUGGUGCUGUGCGGGGAGAGAGACGGCGUGCUGUUCCGGGGGAUGAGCCUCCACCACAUCUGUCUGGAGCUUGACGUGAUGUCAGGCAACUCGGCUGACUCGUACUCGGAGGGCGACUCUGACGGUGAGGGGCGGAAGGAGAAGGGCGAGGUGGCCCCUCCCAGCCUGCUGAUGGUGCGGAAGGGCAGGACCAACAGCAGGACGCCGCGUGCCAGGAAACUCAAGGUCACGCCCUCCUCCACAUCGCCCCUCUCCCCCUCGCUCCCCGGCCGCAGAAGAGGCUCAGGUGGGCCCAAAUCAGGAAAACGCGGCGUCCUCAAGCGCCCGUGGUCGGACGCAGAGCGCGCUGCUGUGGAGGAGCACCUGACCUGCAACAUCGCCGAGCUGCGCGUGCCUGCCAAGGCCGACUGCGAGCGCUGCCUGCAGAGCUGCCCGCUGCUGGUCACCAACCGGCGCGACUGGCGGGCCAUCAAAUUCUACUGUCACAACCGUAUCCAGCUGCUUAAGAAGAACCAGCGGCGUGAGGACGACGGGACGCCCAUCAUGGUGUGCUGAGAAGACUGACGGAGAGACUGAGAGAUUGAUGGACAGACACAACAAUAGCUCCACAGUAUCCACAAUAGCGUGCUACUUGGAAUGAAGGAAGCCAAAACAGAGGCGUGGUCAACUCCGUAACGUUACAGCAGUGACUGUCAACUCUGUAAUAUUUUUUCCGCUGACGGUCCAAAAACAAGAGUUGAUGCUUAAGGAACAGAGUUGACGCUUAAGGAAGCAAUGUAGUGGGCGUGCCUUUGAAGUGGUACGCUAAUGUGGGUAUUGGAAUGUAGCCAACAUCUCAUUAAGCAGGUUUCCAUCCAACCUUUUUAUGUAGUAAAGUACGGGUCAAUGUCAGGUCAAAAAUGUAGUGACAGGCCUGAUGGAAACAACAUUUUUCGGUACACUUUCCAAAUGUCAAAAAAACGAAAUACGCUAGACAAGGUGGGAUAUUUUGUGUCGGUAAAAUGAAGUAUGCGAGAAAUGUCGGUGGAACUAUUGAUGUAAUAACCAUCAUAUCGAAGUAAACUUGGGGUCGCGCGAUGACAUGUGUGGCCCUCCCACUACGGUGCGUCAGGAAAGCAUGCAGUUUAUUAGGCUACAGAUUAAAUACAUUGGGAUGAACUUCACAGGGUGGUGAAAGUGCAAGGUGAUGAGCUUGAUGCUCCUGUUUAAUAAAUAUCAAGGGUCUUAUUUUGGUGAUCAUCGAUGCGUGGCAGCCGUUUGACAAAUAAAGAAAACUCGCUCUUUUGGCCAUAAUAAUCUCAUGUAGCCUAUACGUGUGUUCUAGCCAACAGCGCGCACGUGCCAGUACCAGAGUGGGCAGACUCGCUAUAUAACAGAACAGUUUUUGUGGGAAAACCAUCUGUAGAGUUGAAAAUGUGAUGGAAACCCAUUUAACUUGUUUUUUUUUAUUUGGUACAUGGGAAUUUAACAGCAAAAGGUAUUUGUAUGUGCACUACAUCAUCACGCACAGUCAAUUUGAUGGAAACGCAUCUCUGGUGGGAAAAUGCAGAUUGUUUUUGUGCGGAUUUGAGAAUAUCUGUCACCAAUUGGAUGGAAACCUAGCUAUUUGAUACCCUAAUAUAUUGUCCUCUGAGACAAAAAGAGGGAGAGGCUGGGGGAGUGAGAGAAGGAGUGACUGUGUAGGAGUGACAACAGCCUGUGUUGUGUAUGUGGACAUUUUAAUUUAGUUUUCGCUUGAAAACGAGAUGAACAAUGUUCAAAACGCACCACAGAUUGUUGUAUUUAGAUUUUUUUGGGACUCUGGUGUUUUUGACAUACUCAAGUGUUGUAUGGACGUUUCUGAACACACUCAAGUUAACACUAUUAGGGUUUGAGGCUGUAGUGUGUGUGUGUGUGUUUCCAGUGCUGAGAAGAUGUUAUAGGGUCUCCAACACCCAGUCCUGGAGAGUGCAUGCUUUAGUUCCAGUACUAACUCACCCGAUGAAACUACACCUGACUGAAAGACCAUGGCUAGAUCAUUAUUUAAAACGGGUGUGUUAAUAGCGCUGAGCCGGAGCAAAAGCCUGCACCCCAGGAGUGGAGCAAGAGAGCCCCUGGGUUAGAGUGAAGGGGGGGGAAGGAAACGCCACCAUCAGUGUGUUGUAAAUUUUCUUUUUGGACUACCUAAGACACUGUAUAGUCAGUUUGGGGCUUUUCCCCGCUCCCUCCUUCAAAAUGAACACUACAAGACAGCAGUUGAAUACUGCUUUGCCUAAAAUACACCAAGUAUAUUCUUGUUGUUGGCAUCUUUCUUUUAUUUUGUGCCUGUUGCACAUGUUUUCUUAAAAGCGCUUUGAAAAGGUGCAUUAGGCCGUCGGGCCAGUCUUCUGCGACGAGCAGAGUUCUGUAUUUAACUUGGCUGUGUUCUUCAAAGUGAUUUUUGGGGGGGCAAUCUUUCAGAAGAGUGGGCAUAGCUGAAUACUAUGCCACGCUAUGGUUAUUUUUUUACAUGCAGUGUUGUUGCGUCAUUUGUGUUGAUUGUUUUGCCUUUUCAGACUGACCAGUGUAGCUCCAGUCUUUUUUCAGCAACUCUGGUUUCUAUCGUUCACUGCUGUUAGAUGAUGAGCUGCUUGUAGCUCUAGUCCAGGGUGUUAGUGUGGCUUGCUAACGCUUAGGCUGGCAUUCAAUCCGAUCAGUGGUAGAUUUGCAUUAUAGCGCGCUUGACAUUUUUAAAAGUCAUUUCCGAUUAAGCCGACAUAUACAGAGUUUGCGGAAACAUUGCCUUUAAAAGGUGCAUAGCUGACAAAGUGCGGUCGGGUGGAAUCCCGGCUUGAGCCUUCACAGCUUUUGCUAGUCGCACUAACACCCUGGACCAGAGCUAGGCUUAUUUGUAGGUCUGCUGGAGCCGCAAGUAACCCGGCAUUUUGUCUUAUUGGAUUAAAACCGCACAACACCUCUUGAUAGAUAGUUGAAUUUAUUUAACAUAAUCACAUAUAAUCUUACAUUGGUUCAUGCUAUCAUCUUGCCAGUUUCGGUGUACAUAAAAAAAUAUGAUCAUUACGUAAACUGGUUUGUUUGUGCUGUCCGUAGUUUAUUUGUUCAUUUGCGAGUUGGUAUUGUACAUAGGUCUAUGGUUUUGUAAAUAUUCACAGAAAUGCAUAAAGGGGAAAAGAACUACACAAUGGCUUGGUUUUUUGUGUUAUGUUUUUAUAUAAGUCUGAAAAGUUCAGGUCAUAUUUCUGAGGUUUGAUUCUUUCAAUGUACUAACAAUGAGUGCAUCCCAAUAAUAUCUGCUUUUUUAUGUUUUAUUUAUUUCACC